rnacentral:rRNA from 1 species
UACGUAGGGGGCAAGCGUUGUCCGGAUUUAUUGGGCGUAAAGAGCGUGUAGGCGGCCAGGCAGGUCUGCUGUGAAAACUCGAGGCUUAACCUCGAGAUGUCGGCGGAAACCAUCUGGCUAGAGUCCGGAAGAGGAGAAUGGAAUUCCCGGUGUAGCGGUGAAAUGCGCAGAUAUCGGGAAGAACACCCGUGGCGAAGGCGGUUCUCUGGGACGGUACUGACGCUGAGACGCGAAAGCGUGGGGAGCGAACAGG